GCCUUCGUAGUAUAAUGGUCAACACACUCGACGCGCAUUCGAGAGAUCCAGGGUUCGAAUCCCUGCGAGGGCA
rnacentral:tRNA from 1 species